rnacentral:rRNA from 1 species
UACAGAGGUCUCAAGCGUUGUUCGGAUUCAUUGGGCGUAAAGGGUGCGUAGGUGGCGGGGUAAGUCGGAUGUGAAAUCCCGGGGCUCAACCCCGGAACUGCAUUCGAUACUGCCUUGCUCGAGUACUGGAGAGGAGAUUGGAAUUUACGGUGUAGCAGUGAAAUGCGUAGAUAUCGUAAGGAAGACCAGUGGCGAAGGCGACUCGCUGGACAGGUAUUGACGCUGAGGUGCGAAAGCGUGGGGAGCAAACAGG